AUGGCGCUCAUUGUCCACCCUUCGGCGAGACACGCGAGAGGGGCUGCCAUGGGCUACACCACGAGGUGCGGCGCCGGAGUGUGUGCCCCCCCCCACCUCCGCCACCGGCCAGCGUCCACGCGGACGCACCGGCCCCUGCCGCCCCGCAAGUCCCUUUCCGCCCGGGCCUUGCAGCCUCCGGGGCACGCUGCGGCGGAGAAAAGUCAUUGUCACCUUCAACGUGGAUCCCUCAACUCCGCGACUCCCCGGUCAUUUCCAGGCUCCGCGCACUCCCCCCCACCCCAGGACUUUCGGUUUGCCUCAGAUACCCGCCCCGGUGGGGGAAGCAGGCACCCGAGACGCGUGUAUACAAAAGGACCCGGGGGCUGGCGAUCGCGGAAACGGGGCGCCCGGCAUGCCACCUCCCAGACAAAACUUCCUGUGUGUGCGUGUGCGGUGAGCGUGUCGGCUGUGUGUGCAAGGACGGGGAGGUGGGUGAGCUGGAGACAGAGGACACCCCACUCGGAAAUCAAAGCCUCGGCACGCAGUCCUGCAGCCCAGCGACCGUCAGAGUUCGCUCACCUUCCCGAGGCAGCCGUUCCACGCGCGAUCAGGCUCCCGAGGUGCGCGGUGCACGCAGGCCGGCCCCCUCCAGGCACUCCGUCCUCCUCCUCCGCCGCCGCCGCCGCCGCCUUGUCUAGAAAGAUUGUCUCCUGCAGUUCUGCAGUUGCUACCGCGGCCCGGGAAGGUGUAGAUUCCGCUUUCGUUCUGCGCACGCGCGCUCCCGGGGCAAGAAAUUCUCUUGAAUCGGGCUCAUUUGCAUGCGGGCGCGCGCGCGUCGCGGGCGGGGCGGGGAGGAGGCGAGGCGGCCGCGCGCGCUCCCGGGGCCUCUAUUGUCCUUUUAAGGGGAGAAGCGCCGCGGCGCGGGAAACGCGGCGGCCCGCGGGCGGCGGGGGCGGGGCCUGCUUACUACGGCAACGUCGCGUAAACAAACGCCCGCGGCGGGACGCGGUGGACCCGUGGGCCGCGGCGGGGGUGGGCGUGGGGAGCGCGGAGUGUUGGAGGCCGGUUUUGCUGGCACCUGUGACUUGCGACAGCGCGCGGGCAGAGUGCACACGCUGCCUCGGUUUGGCUGCAAGUUGCGUGUUCGCAGCUUUUUGGAAACGCGUGCGCGAGUCCCCCGGAGCCCGCAGGAGCCCGUGUCCGCGCGGUCACGCUUGGACUGCGCGUGUGGCCGCCGGCUCCCGCUGGCCCCUCUCCCCCAGGGUAGCCCACGCACCCCAACUCGUGCAACUCGGAGACCACGCCACGAACGGGCGUGCUCGUAUGGGGACGCAGCCGGGGACGCGCAGGCUCUGUGCACCCGCACCCACGCCCGGAGGAUCCCCUCGCGGAAGUCACCUUGCUCCGGUGCGCGGGGCACCUGCCCCAGGCCGCGGGAGGCUGCGGGGAAAGGCUGUUCGUCCCAGAAACGGCAUUCUAGUCCCCAGCCGCAGACGUGAGACGGUCAGCCGUGCCGGCCAGUGUCCACGCGCGGAGUUAGGUCGAUACUUGGGAAACGCGGGUGUGACACAGCCAGUGCCUGCCGCCGACGCGGAAGCGCCCGAGCCCCCGCGGCUGCUUCUUCCUCAGGUCCUGCACCUGCAAGCGGAGCUCCCGCAGGGCCCACGCCUCGCCCAGGAGAGGGGCUCCCUCGCGGCGUCUGGCUUCCCUGUUCCAGGGCCUGGGUCCGUCCGUGGGCAGUGGGCAGUGUGCUCCUGCGGACCGCAGCUCGAUCGCGGGCUCCCGCAGCCUCGCAGUCUGAUAGAUGACCUAAGUCACUCUGCACGUGCAGGGUCAGCUUGA
ensembl:lncRNA